AUUUUCAUAGUCCAUGAUGGGAAGUUUGUACUUCUGAACCCUUUAAUUGUUAUGCUCUUUAAAUUCGGGUGAGGUUGGAGGCCUUCGAGGACACUUUUAUCGUUGUUGCCUUCCAAAAAACUCUCAUCGUUGUUGUUGCCUUCCAAGAGAUUCUCAUCAUUGUUUGUUGUCCACAUAAAACCUAACUUAUAUAUCUUUGGCUUUCCAACCAAAUCUGCCUUCUUAGCUUCUUCUAUGCCGUUUACUAGUUCAAGAUUGUGUAUAUCCAGUUUGCCUGUAAGAUUCUGUAGAAAUUGGGUUGCUGCCAUUUGUGAAGCCCAAUCCAACAGCCCAUGACCCGGUUAAAUGGCCCAACUGGUAGAAUUAUCUGGAAGCUUAAUUACACAAAUGAAAAACGCGCUUUCUGUUUGAGAAAAUCGACUCUCACAUGAUUGUGACACCUGGCAGCCGCUGGACCAUUGGAUCAAAUGAAUUGAUUAUUUCAUAUAAAAGGGAUCAACAAUUCUAGGGUUAGGGUUGGUUCUCAUUUUACGCAGCUUUCGUUUUCUUUUCAUUUUGAGUUGAAAAAUCUCUCUCUGUAUUUGUUGGCUCUCUGGUCUUGAAUCUCGUUGAUUCUUUUAGUUGGUUGAGAGUAGAUGUGGUGCUAUGAAUUCUUGUGUGAGUUCUUUUGUAUUGUAGAGGAGAUUGUUGUCGUGGUGACAGGAACUGUGUGUUCCUUCUGUGAUUCGAAAACUGCUGUAAUUUUUGGCCGGUGUGUUUUGUUCUAGUGGAUUCGAACUUAUUCCUUCGUGGAUGCUCAACGGGGAUUAGGCGAUUUUAACAAAUCGCUGAACCUUGGGGCUUCGGCCAAAAAUCGCUUGUGUUUCUCUUUACUGUUUUUCAGAUCUACAAAUCUUGAUCUUUAGUCUUGCGAUUUUUGAUGCUUUGAAACGGUUCUAGGGUUCCUACAGUGGUAUCAGAGCUCAGAGUAUUUUUUACUUUAGCUAUUUUUUUGGGUUCCCGUUUAGUCGAGGGUCUGAAAUCAACUCACCAGCCGAAAAGAAAAAUAGGCAGAUUCUUUUUCAAGAUCUGCCAACAUUAAAUUUUUUUAAAAAAAAUUUCUUUUCUUUGAGUAACACUGAAACAAUUUUUGAAAGGGCACUGCAAGUGUGGAUGUCGUUUUCUCUUUGAGAUACUCUAGUGUUCUUGUUGACUGUUGUAUUUCCUUUACUUCGCUCGAUAUUGAACUUCGUAUACAAUUGUGUAUUUGUAAAUGAUGCGGUAUAGUGAUAAUUUUUGGGUAUACUAUAAGCCGUAACUAACCUAUUCUUGGUGAAAUUAAAGACUUUACUUGUCUGGUUUUUUGUGGUACCUGCAGUCUGCAGACACUGAAUUUUGUGAUCAAAUUAGUUUUGUAGUGAAUAGUUGGUACACUUAUUUUUGGGAAGUAUUACUUUGGUAAUAAAACCAUUUUUUUUUAAACAAGAGAUUCUCUCAACCUCCUCUAGCUCUACCUCUGUCUAGGGUUCCCUGAGAGAACUCUAAAAACUUUGGGGACUAGGAUUUCGGUUCAAGAAAUCUGAAAUCUUCAAAAACUGCUUUCUUAAAAUCUCACUGUGAGUUGAAAUUAAAUCAAAAUCAUAUUUUUGAUUGAUAAAUUGUUGUACAAUCUAUGUGAAUUGUGCUAACACUCAAUUUGAUCUUCUCAGGUGUUAAUCUGUCAAAUUUUAAUGCUUCAAAGGUACAUACACUGCACUUACAAUUUUUGAUAACUUACUGUGUGUAAGUUUAUGAAAUUAAGUUCAUAGCAUGCUUACUGUAUUAUUGAAUAUCUGAAUGCGUCUUACUUUGGUUGCAAUAAUUCUGUACACAUCACAAUAAAGCACAGUCCACAUAUAAUCUGAAAUUGGAAUAAUAGGACAGUGAACUUUGUGACACACUGUUGACUAAAUAAUCAUUGAGAUAUAUCUGUUUUAUCAUAACUUGUGAACAAUUUCACAACCCUGCACAAUAUGAACUCUAAGGUAGAUGUCCAAAUGUGGGAUGGCAAAGGAGACUUUAGUCUCUGGCGUCAAAAAAUUAAAGCACUAUUAUUACAGUUAAAAUGUGCUAAGGCUAUUGAUGAAUCUUGGCCAGAAACCUUAUCUGAAGCUAGGAAAACUGAGCAAGAUGAAUUAGCUUGGAGCACUCUGUUCCUAUACCUGUCUGAUACUGUAAUUAGGAAAGUAGGAGAAACUAAAACUGCUGAAGAAUUAUGGACUGCCUUAGAAAAACACUACCUUACAAAGACUGUGCCAAAUAAACGUUUUCUUUGGAGACAGUUUUUUAGUUUUAAGUUUGAUCCUAACCUUGAUACUGGAGAUAAUAGGGAUAUGUUUAAUAGGAUCACACAGGACUUAGCAAACUGUGAUGAGAAGAUUUCUGAUGAACAAAAGGUAGUUGGCCUACUUAAUGCUCUAGGAGAUAAAUAUAAAGAUAUUAGAAAUACUCUAGAGUAUGGUAGGAGUGAUCUCACUGUUGAAAUAAUUCACAGUUCUCUUUUGAAUAAAGAACUUGAAUUAAAAUCUGAACACAAAGAAGUGUACCAUGUUGAGGGUAUGUCAUCAAAUCAAAAACCAUAUCCUAAAGGAGUAAGUAACUUCAGUCAUUCCAAUUUUAAUAGAAAUAAAACCUUUAACAAAAGGCAGUGGAAUAAUACCAAAGGAAAAGGCAAGAAACCAAUCAAAGGAAAACAAAACAGCAACAAUAACAAUAACAGAAAAUGCUUUUAUUGUGGAAAGACAGGCCACUUUAUUAAAGACUGUUUUAAAAGGGCAAAUGACCAAAAGAAUGGGUCUAACAUUGAAAAUGCUUCUUUAGCUGCUGCUGCUAAUUAUAAAGAAGCAGGAGCUAAUAUUGGAGUAGCCUAUGUAUCUUUAUCUGAAGAUACUGAUUAGGACUGGGUCCUGGAUUCAGGGUGUUCCUUUCAUAUGACACCCAAUAUUAACUGCAUUUCAGAUUUUUGCAGUCUGGAUGGAGGAUUUGUAAAACUUAGGAAUGAUGAGUCAUGCCAAGUUAAGGGAAUUGGAAAUGUGCUGUUGAAAUUUAAAAAUGGUCAUCACAUGUUAUUAAAGCAUACAAGAUAUGUACCAGCACUUAGAAGAAAUCUCAUAUCCCUAGGAGUUCUUGAUGAUGAAAAUUAUCAAAUUGGUAUUAAAAAUGGUUUUACAAAUAUAAUAAGAAAUCAAGAACACAUUAUCAGUUCUCCUAAGUUUAAUGGAAUCUAUGUAAUAGGUGUUGAAACCAUUUCACCAAAAAAUUCUGUGAACUCUAUCACACAACCCGAUAAAUCAAAACUGUGGCAUAAAAGACUUGGCCACUUAAGUGAAAAAGGUUUAAAAACAUUAUCAUGUCAAGGUGCAUUUGGAAAAGACAGUGUUCAGAAAUUGACCUUCUGUGAACACUGUAUCUUGGGAAAACAUGUAAGACUGUCUUUUAAGGCAGGACUGCACAAAUCCCAAGAUGUCCUUGAAUACAUACAUUCUGAUUUAUGGGGACCAGCACCUGUUUCUACUGUAUCUGGUUACAGAUAUUAUCUUCUUACAACCGAUGACUAUUCAAGAAAGACAUGAAUUUUCUUAUUAAAAUCCAAAUCUGAUACUUUUGCAAUUUUUAAAGAAUGGAGUGUUCUAAUUAAAAAUCAGACCGGUAAGAAGAUAAAAAUUUUAAGAACUGAUAAUGGCCUUUAAUUCUGCAGAAUUUGACCAAUAUUGCAAUAAACAAGGGAUAAUGAGAUAUAAGACUGUGAGCUAUACUCCACAACAGAAUGGAGUUGCUGAGAGGCUUAAUAGGACAAUUUUGAAAGGACCAGAUGUAUGCUAAUCAGUUCUGGCCUUCCAAAAAUUUUCUGGGGUGAAGCUGUAAAAACAGCAUGUUAUCUUAUAAAUAAAUGCCCUUCCAGCUCUCUAAAUAACAGAAUUCCUCAACAAAUCUAGUCUGGUUCAAUGCCAAAUUACUCUAAUCUACGAACUUUUGGAUGUGCAGCCUGUGCACAUCACACUGAGAAAAAUUGGACCCUAGAUCAUUGAAGGGUGUGUUCUUAGGAUAUGGAGAAGGUGUUAAAGGCUAUAGAUUGUGGUUAAGAGAUGUAAGGGGUUAUAAGGUGAUAACAAGCAGAUCUGUUAUCUUUAAUGAAGAUGAUUUCCCUUGUCUUAAUGACAAAUCUAGUGAGAAAUUGGGAAAGGAUGACUUCAUUAUUACAGAAAUUAAUUUUGAUAACCACAAUACUGAUGACCAGGCUCAGCUUGAGGUGGAGCCACAUCAGGUUGUACCCCAAAAUAACUUUGAUGCUGAAAUAAUUGAAGAUGAACAGCAUUUGGAGUCUGCACAUGAUCUGUAGGGCUACCAACUUGCUAGGGACAGAGAAAGGAGGGAAAUAAGACCUCCAAAUAGGUAUCAACAUGCUGAUUUCGUAUCAGAUCAAACUGAAUCAGAUCAGUUUGACUUAGAACCAGUCUCUUAUGAAGAGGCUAUAUCUUCCAAAGAAUCCCCUAAGUGGAUUGCUGCAAUGGAAGAUGAAAUGAACUCACUCUUUAAGAAUGAAACCUGGACUUUAGUUGAAAAAUCCAAAGAUUGUAAGUUGAUUGACUGUAAAUGGGUUUAUAAGAUUAAAGAGGGUGAGACAAAGGUUAGUGAUAAGAGGUUUAAAGCAAGACUUGUAGCUAAAGGUUUUAAUCAGAGAGAAGGGAUAGAUUACAAUGAAAUUUUUUCACCGGUUGUUAAAUAUACAUCCAUUAGAGUCCUACUUGCUAUAGUGACACAAUUUGAUUUGGAAUUAGAACAACUUGAUGUGAAAACUGCCUUCCUGUAUGGUUCUUUAGAUGAAACCAUACAUAUGACUCAACCAAAAGGGUUUGAAGUGGUAGGAAAGGGAAACUUAGUGUGUCUCUUAAAGAAAUCCUUAUAUGGCCUAAAACAGGCCCCUAGGCAGUGGUAUAAAAGAUUUGACUCUUUUAUACAAGGCUUGAACUUUAGGAAAUCAGAAUAUGAUCCCUGUUUCUAUUAUAAGAAAGAACGGGAAUCUGAUUUUUUCUAUCUGCUUUUGUAUGUUGAUGAUAUGCUCCUUGCUGGUCACAAUUCUGUUGCACUAAACUCAAUUAAAGAAAAUUUGAAAUCUGAAUUUGAGAUGAAAGAUUUAGGACCAGCUAGAAAGAUUUUGGGCAUGGAAAUAAAAAGAGAUAGGAUAAAUGGAAAGUUGUUUCUAACACAAAAAUCGUAUAUUGAUAAGGUUGUAAAAAGGUUCUCCCUUCAUGAGUCUAAGCCUGUAAGUUUGCCUCUAUCUGCUGGUAUGAAACUAUCUGUUGAUCAAUCGCCUAAAACUGAAGAAGAGCAUAAGAGAAUGAUAAAUGUGCCUUAUUCUAAUGCUGUUGGAUCUGUAAUGUAUGUUAUGGUUUGCUCUAGACCUGAUAUUGCUUAUGCCGUGAGCGUGUUAAGUGGAUUCAUGAGUAACCCAGGUGAAAUACAUUGGCAAUGCAUGAAAAAUCUAAUUAAGUACUUGAAAGGAACAAGUAACUUAGGUCUAAUGUUCAAAACAAAUAAAAAUGGACUUAGACUUAAGGGAUAUGUAGAUUCAGAUUUUGCUGGUAAUCCAGACAAUAGGAAGUCCACAACUGCAUACUUAUAUGUGAUAAAUGAUACAUGCAUUAGCUGGAAAUCUCAGCUUCAAAAACUUGUUGCAUUGUCCUCAACCGAGGCUGAAUAUAUUGCUGCAAUGGAAGCUGUGAAAGAGAGUUUGUGGCUGAAGGGUUUGCUUAAUGAAUUAGGUCUUAUAGAAAAUCAGGUGGAGUUAUGUUCAGACAACCAAAGUGCUAUUUUUUUAAGUAAAAAUCCUAUCCUGCAUGAUAGAUCAAAGCAUAUAGAUGUAAAGUUUCAUUUUAUUAGAGAUAUCAUUGAUAGGNNNNNNNNNNNNNNNNNNNNNNNNNNNNNNNNNNNNNNNNNNNNNNNNNNNNNNNNNNNNNNNNNNNNNNNNNNNNNNNNNNNNNNNNNNNNNNNNNNNNNNNNNNNNNNNNNNNNNNNNNNNNNNNNNNNNNNNNNNNNNNNNNNNNNNNNNNNNNNNNNNNNNNNNNNNNNNNNNNNNNNNNNNNNNNNNNNNNNNNNNNNNNNNNNNNNNNNNNNNNNNNNNNNNNNNNNNNNNNNNNNNNNNNNNNNNNNNUGUAGAAAUUGGGUUGCUGCCAUUUGUGAAGCCCAAUCCAACAGCCCAUGACCCGGUUAAAUGGCCCAACUGGUAGAAUUAUCUGGAAGCUUAAUUACACAAAUGAAAAACGCGCUUUCUGUUUGAGAAAAUCGACUCUCACAUGAUUGUGACACCUGGCAGUCACUGGACCAUUGGAUCAAAUGAAUUGAUUAUUUCAUAUAAAAGGGAUCAACAAUUCUAAGGUUAGGGUUGGCUCUCAUUUUAUGCAGCUUUCGUUUUCUUUUCAUUUUGAGUUGAAAAAUCUCUCUCUGUAUUUGUUGGCUCUCUGGUCUUGAAUCUGGUUGAUUCAUUUAGUUGGUUGAGAGUAGAUGUGGUGCUACGAACUCUUGUGUGAGUUCUUUUGUAUUGUAGAGGAGAUUAUUGUCGUGGUGACUGGAACUGUGUGUUCCUUCUGUGAUUCGAAAACUGCUGUAAUUUUUGGCUGGUGUGUUUUGUUCUAGUGGAUUCGAUCUUAUUCCUUCGUGGAUGCUCAACGGGGAUUAGGCGAUUUUAACAAAUCACUGAAACUCAGGGCUUCGACCAAAAAUCGCUUGUGUUUCUCUUUACUGUUUUCAGAUCUACAAAUCUUGAUCUUUAGUCUUGCGAUUUUUGAUGCUUUGAAAUGGUUCUAGGGUUCCUACAGAUUCUUCAAAGAUCCUAGCUCUUUGAUUUGUCUGCCUUCCUUGCCACCAACUCUAAAAUACAUUAAUGUUUGAAGAUCAGACAACUUUCUGAUUUCAGGCGGCAUCUGGAGAUCUCUAUUAAUAGAAUAAAAGUAGAGAUGUCUCAAAUUACUCAAGUCAGAUAGCCUUUCUGGAAGCAGAUGAAGGUUCCGGCAUUUCAAAAUCCUUAAUGUUUGUAAAUUGUAGAGCUUGCAAAUCGAAUCUGGUAAAGUUUCCAUUUUAUAAUUUUCAGAUGCAUCAAGAUAUCUCAAA
rnacentral:lncRNA from 1 species